rfam:Lachnospiraceae bacterium 28-4 genomic scaffold acPFn-supercont1.3, whole genome shotgun sequence.
UUGCGCAGGAAAAUGAGAUUUUCUUAAUAUUCCGGCCAGAAAACAGCAAUUUGGUGACACGGAUGUCACCAAAAGCCCGUAAUGAGCCCGGAUGGCGAAUCACGGGCGGUUGCGUCCGGUAAAUACAACCUUGCCGGAAUAUUUAGAAAAUCCAUUUCCCGAAGCCG